ACUGGCUCAGGAUGAACGCUGGCGGCGUGCUUAACACAUGCAAGUCGAACGAAGCUAAGGGAGCUUGCUCCCAAAGCUUAGUGGCGGACGGGUGAGUAACGCGUGGGUAACCUGCCCUAUAGAGGGGGAUAACGUUCGGAAACGAACGCUAAUACCGCAUAAACCAUAAAGAGCUGCAUGGCUCUGAUGGCAAAGAUUUAUCGCUAUAGGAUGGACCUGCGUUGGAUUAGCUAGUUGGUGAGAUAACAGCUCACCAAGGCGACGAUCCAUAGCCGGCCUGAGAGGGUGAACGGCCACAUUGGGACUGAGACACGGCCCAAACUCCUACGGGAGGCAGCAGUGGGGAAUAUUGCACAAUGGGCGCAAGCCUGAUGCAGCGACGCCGCGUGAAGGAAGAAGGUCUUCGGAUUGUAAACUUCUAUCAGCAGGGAAGAAUAAAUGACGGUACCUGACUAAGAAGCCCCGGCUAACUACGUGCCAGCCGCCGC
rnacentral:rRNA from 1 species